GCUCGUGUCGUGAGAUGUUGGGUUAAGUCCCGCAACGAGCGCAACCCUCGACCUUAGUUGCCAGCGGUUCGGCCGGGCACUCUAACGGGACUGCCCGCGAAAGCGGGAGGAAGGAGGGGACGACGUCUGGUCAGCAUGGCUCUUACGGCCUGGGCGACACACGUGCUACAAUGCCCACUACAAAGCGAGGCCACCCGGCAACGGGGAGCUAAUCGCAAAAAGGUGGGCCCAGUUCGGAUUGGGGUCUGCAACCCGACCCCAUGAAGCCGGAAUCGCUAGUAAUCGCGGAUCAGCCAUGCCGCGGUGAAUACGUUCCCGGGCCUU
rnacentral:rRNA from 1 species